UGAACGCUGGCGGCGUGCCUAAUACAUGCAAGUCGAGCGAACGGACGAGAAGCUUGCUUCUCUGAUGUUAGCGGCGGACGGGUGAGUAACACGUGGAUAACCUACCUAUAAGACUGGGAUAACUUCGGGAAACCGGAGCUAAUACCGGAUAAUAUUUUGAACCGCAUGGUUCAAAAGUGAAAGACGGUCUUGCUGUCACUUAUAGAUGGAUCCGCGCUGCAUUAGCUAGUUGGUAAGGUAACGGCUUACCAAGGCAACGAUGCAUAGCCGACCUGAGAGGGUGAUCGGCCACACUGGAACUGAGACACGGUCCAGACUCCUACGGGAGGCAGCAGUAGGGAAUCUUCCGCAAUGGGCGAAAGCCUGACGGAGCAACGCCGCGUGAGUGAUGAAGGUCUUCGGAUCGUAAAACUCUGUUAUUAGGGAAGAACAUAUGUGUAAGUAACUGUGCACAUCUUGACGGUACCUAAUCAAAAAGCCACGGCUAACUACGUG
rnacentral:rRNA from 1 species